GAUGAACGCUGGCGGCGCGCCUAACACAUGCAAGUCGAACGAUUAAAGCACCUUCGGGUGUGUAUAAAGUGGCGAACGGCUGAGUAACACGUGGGCAACCUGCCCCUCUCAUUGGGAUAGCCACGGGAAACCGUGGAUAAUACCGAAUACUUCGAGUCUCCCGCAUGGAAGACUCGAGAAAGCUCCGGCGGAGAGGGAUGGGCCCGCGGCCUGUUAGCUUGUUGGUGGGGUAACGGCCUACCAAGGCAAUGAUGGGUAGCUGGGUUGAGAGACCGACCAGCCAGAUUGGGACUGAGACACGGCCCAGACUCCUACGGGAGGCAGCAGUGGGGAAUCUUGCACAAUGGGCGAAAGCCUGAUGCAGCGACGCCGCGUGCGGGAUGAAGGCCUUCGGGUUGUAAACCGCUUUCAGCAGGGACGAGGCGAAAGCGACGGUACCUGCAGAAGAAGCCCCGGCUAACUACGUGCCAGCAGCCGCGGUAAUACGUAGGGGGCAAGCGUUAUCCGGAUUCAUUGGGCGUAAAGCGCUCGUAGGCGGUCUGUUAGGUCGGGAGUUAAAUCCGGGGGCUCAACCCCCGUUCGCUCCCGAUACCGGCAGACUUGAGUUUGGUAGGGGAAGGUGGAAUUCCUAGUGUAGCGGUGGAAUGCGCAGAUAUUAGGAAGAACACCAGUGGCGAAGGCGGCCUUCUGGGCCAUAACUGACGCUGGGGAGCGAAAGUUAGGGAGCAACAGG
rnacentral:rRNA from 1 species